rnacentral:rRNA from 1 species
GAUGAACGCUGGCGGCGUGCCUAAUACAUGCAAGUCGAGCGAACGGACGAUAAGCUUGCUUCUCUGAUGUUAGCGGCGGACGGGUGAGUAACACGUGCAUAACCUACUUAUAAUACUGGGAUAACUUCGGGAAACCGUAGCUAAUACUGGAUAAUAUUUUGAACCGCAUGGUUCAAAAGUUCAAGACGGCUUUCCUGUCACUUAUAGAUGGAUCCGCGCUGCAUUAGCUAGUUGGUAAGGUAACGGCUUACCAAGGCAACGAUGCAUAGCCGACCUGAGAGGGUGAUCGGCCACACUGGAACUGAGACACGGUCCAGACUCCUACGGGAGGCAGCAGUAGGGAAUCUUGCGCAAUGGGCGAAAGCCUGACGGAGCAACGCCGCGUGAGUGAUGAAGGUCUUCGGAUCGUAAAACCCUGUUAUUAGGGAAGAACAGAUGUGUAAGUAACUGUGGACAUCUUGACGGUACCUAAUCAGAAAGCCACGGCUAACUACGUG